AUUGAACGCUGGCGGAAUGCUUUACACAUGCAAGUCGAACGGCAGCACGGACUUCGGUCUGGUGGCGAGUGGCGAACGGGUGAGUAAUGUAUCGGAACGUGCCCAGUCGUGGGGGAUAACGUAGUGAAAAUUACGCUAAUACCGCAUACGAUCUAUGGAUGAAAGCGGGGGAUCGCAAGACCUCGCUCGAUUGGAGAGGCCGAUAUCAGAUUAGGUAGUUGGUGGGGUAAAGGCCCACCAAGCCAACGAUCUGUAGCUGGUCUGAGAGGACGACCAGCCACACUGGAACUGAGACACGGUCCAGACUCCUACGGGAGGCAGCAGUGGGGAAUUUUGGACAAUGGGCGAAAGCCUGAUCCAGCCAUUCCGCGUGCAGGAUGAAGGCCCUCGGGUUGUAAACUGCUUUUGUACAGAACGAAAAGGUUUCUACUAAUACUAGGAGCUCAUGACGGUACUGUAAGAAUAAGCACCGGCUAACUACGUGCCAGCAGCCGCCGCGG
rnacentral:rRNA from 1 species